rfam:Picea glauca, whole genome shotgun sequence.
AUGUACAUGCCUACAACAUAGCAUUAAUGCACUGGAUCCCAUUAGAACUCCUCAGUUAAGUGCACUCGGGCUAGAGUAGUACUAGGAUGGGUGACCAUCUAGGAAGUCAUAGUGUUUUACAUU